UCCACAGUCAGCCAAGCAGCGUGAAGCUCCUCGGCUGUGUCCCAGUUCCUGUACACACCACGCUUCAGUCAUACACUGAACAGGAGAUUGGAGCCUACUACAGAAGUUCCUGGUAACAUUUCAGGGGAUCCCAGUAACAGUUGCCUGACAUGGGGCUUAAACCACCAACAGUCACCCAUUCAAUAAGACUGCUCAGAGUGGAAGAGAAAUAUAGACAACAUAGAGCCCCUCAAGUAACAAAUGAUAAGGACAUCUGACAGGAAGCAAAACCAGAGAAGAGUCAGGUGCUUCUGACACAAGAAGAGAGAGCUUGAACAGACAAAAUGAGGUUUAAUACAAGGGGAUACUUUAAAAUUUAAACAGCUAAAGCCAAGUUUGUUAUAGAAGAUUUACAAAUAUAUGACCAUAGACCAAGAUGGUGGAUUUGCUGCAAGCAACAUGAUGUGACACCCCUGCUGACAGCCAUGCAAAGGCUACAUCUGAGAAACUCCUCUUGCCUGUGAUGGCCCUGAGACUUUCGGAGAUCACCAGACCUGAUACACUGCCUACUGAUGAGACCCAAAAACAGGCCCAAAGACAAUCACAGCUCACCCUGAUACAGUUGCUGCCAUUUUAACAGCAAAAUCUUUAUUGCUAUUUUAAUCCAAUAAACUUUG
ensembl:lncRNA